GACGUAGGGUGCGAGCGUUGUCCGGAUUUAUUGGGCGUAAAGAGCUCGUAGGCGGCUUGUUACGUCGGCUGUGAAAACCCGCGGCUCAACCGCGGGCCUGCAGCCGAUACGGGCAGGCUAGAGUUCGGUAGGGGAGACUGGAAUUCCUGGUGUAGCGGUGAAAUGCGCAGAUAUCAGGAAGAACACCAAUGGCGAAAGCAGCUUUCUGGGACGGUACUGACGCUGAGACGCGAAAGCGUGGGGAGCGAACAGG
rnacentral:rRNA from 1 species